AAUAGAAUUCGAAGAAAUUAGAAAAUAGAGAUCUCUUAAGUGAAAAUGAAAGCUACCACCUGUUCACACAGAAAUCACAGAACACAAUCCAGACUGCCAAAUGGUCUGAGUAUUUUACAAAAUGCACAGGACAAAGGGGUUCAGGUGAGCACUCAGAACAUUCAUUCUUGGUUUGCAUUCUGGUUUCCAUACUUAUAUAGCUGUGUGGUGUUGGAGACAUUACUCAGUUUCCUUGCCCUCAGUUUCCUUAUCUGCGCAAUGGAGAAUAAUUACACCUAAGACUAGGGAGGGCUCUUGUGAAGACCAGAUGAAAUGAUGCAAGGAGCCAGAGCCUAGGUCACAGUAGGCUAAGAGGGGGAAAACAUGCUGUUUAAACAGAUUCCCAAAUAAUCUCAUUCCUUUACUCAAUUAUACACAAAUGACUGUUGGGGAACCAGAGAGGUGACUGUUUUUUUUUUUUUUUUGGUUUUUCGAGACAGGGUUUCUCUGUAUAGCCCUGGCUGUCCUGGAGCUCACUUUGUAGACCAGGCUGGCCUCGAACUCAGAAAUCUGCCUGCCUCUGCCUCCCGAGUGCUGGGAUUAAAGGCGUGCGCCACCAUGCCCGGCAGAGGUGGCUGCUCUUGCAGAGGAGUUGGGUUCCAGGCCUCACAACUGUCUAUAACUCCAGUUCCAGAGAUCCGGUGCCCUCUUCAGAGCACACACACGGUGCACCUACAGACAUACAAGCAAAACAUUCAUGAACAACAACAAAAACGUUGUUCUAGAAUGGAUGCAGUUUGGACAGGAGAGCUUAAAAGAUGUGGCCAGUGCUGCCACAUGCUGUCGGCAACAUACCACCCUCCUGGUAGUGCCCACAAACAGCAUCCUACAGUGCAGGAGCAUCCUAAAGGCUCUCCAGGGCUGUUUUCAGGUAUGUUAGAUACCUUGGCACGUGAUAUACUUUAACCUCAGGCUUUGAGAUUAUAUCUGCAUCAUUUAAAAGGCAGGCUAUUACCUUCAUUGAGUGUACAUGAAUUCUGAGAGAAAAGUUUUAAAAAUCCUAAGUUCUCAAAAAGGGCGAGGAAUAUGAAAAUGCGGUAUUCCUGGCUUUAAAUUCUACAGAGAGCAAAAUGAGAAGUCAAAUAAAAUUCACAGAUCUAUGGUAUAGAUCAGGGUUAAAACUCCUGUCUCACAUGGACAAAGGCAAGGGCCUGGUUUCCACUCCCAGCAUUAAAACAAACAAACAAAACCAAUGAAAGGGCUAGAAAGUUCAACUCAAAAGGGAAGAAAGCCCAAUAGAUGAGUUUAAAAACUGAGGCCCAGAUGCACACCUGGGAUGUGCAAACAUCAUGUGCUCCACAGCUGGGCCUUCCUGCAAGUCUCUACUUCUGAGCCCAGCCUUGCUAGUCCUCCCAUCUAUCCCAGAAUGCCCUGUGUCAUCCUUCUGUCUGGCAUUCCCUCAGCCUGGAGCCAUAUGUCUCAGGCUCUUGACUGGGUCUCUUCAUCCUUCAUAAAUCAGCUUACAUAUCACUUUCUUAGAUCAUCUUCCGCUGUUAUUUUAUCUUUUAGCAUUUAACUUGUUCAGUUUCUUUUCUUUCUAGCCUAUUACGUGUCCCCAUUAUGCUAACUCUGGCUGGCCUGUGACUUGUUCUGUAGACUGGCCUAGUCUCUCCCAAGUGCUGCCUCCUGAGCGCUGGGACUGAUGGUGAGCGCCACCACACUCAGUGUCUGUCCCUAAUCAUUGCAGAUGUAAUUAAUUGUUUGUCAUUAUGGCCUGUCUUCCUCAUUGGUGGAUUUUCUCAGUAGAACUCCUGCUAAAGAAAAAGAAACUAAAAAGGAACCUGAAUCAGAGUCAAAACUAUGACCUCAAAUUAAUAAUGUAAAGACAUUUUUCAUAAUGUACUUAUUUUCAUUUUAUGUGUCGGAGUGCUCGCCCGAAUGCCUCAUGUGCAUGUGGUGCCCACAGAGGCCAGAUAAGAGCAUCGGUUUCCUUGGGAGUGGAGUAGAUCGUUGUGAGCCACAAUCUGGUACUGGGAACUGAACCCAAGUCUGAAAGAACAGCCAGUGCUCUUCACCAACAAACUGCCUCUCCAGUCCCAGAUUAAUAAUUUCUUCAACGUAUUUUUUCUUUCAGUGUAUCACUGUUUAAGGUAACAAUGGCAUAUUUCCAAGGGCACACGGACAGCCUGGAGAAGCACUAUAAGCAAUUCCCUAUGAAUUGUGUUUCCUUUUUUACAUGGCCAGGAAGAAUGGUGAGCUCUAGCUGGGGCUGCUAAGUUAGCACCAUUGUUGAGCAGGGCUGCCACCUGAAUAAGGGAGUUCCCAGACUAGGAGCUGCUUUAGGAAGUAAUUAGGAGUAUUAAGGAGGAGAGAGAUCAUUUCUUAGUGCUCCCUGGCUUUGGCUGGGGGAAAGGGUACCUCCCCUUCCUUAGCAUAGGGAGGUGGGCUACACCCCAGUAUUCACUGGAAAAGCACUUCCCACCUGUUGUCUCUACUAGGCUUUUGGUGGGGAGGGAGGAGGAAGGCAGGAGCAUUUGUGUCUCUGAGGGACAUUUGGACAUUUUUACAGGAAUAAUGCUGGGGUGUAGGAAUGACUGGCGUUCCUGGAGUCUUUUCUCCUUUUUUGUUUUCUGCAGGGCCUGGAAUUAAACCUACUAUCUCACUCGUGCUAAGCAAGCACUCUACCACUGAGCUACCCUAACCCCGAUGCCUUUCCAUUGUCAGAUUUCUUUGGAGGUAACCACACUGCAAGGAGGAGCUCCAACAUUGCAGAAAGCAAGAGGACAGAGGCGUGCUUUGGUAGAUCACUAUAGCAAAAGAAAAGACAGGUUCACACAGGAAGCCACCCAGACCUAUAUUCCAUCGGCACCACCCUGCAUUCUAUGAAUACUGUUUUUAAAGAUACACACAUCAUGCCACCUUGCCUGUGUGGUUGGCAAACCAGAAUCCAAUCGGAAUGAUCAUGUGAUCUAGUGUGGUGCCACUGACAGGCUGAUGCCCGCUGUCAGAAAGGAGACCCACAACAUCCCAGAGAAGUGCUUCACUGCUAUCACGACCUGCUUGUGGCUCUGGCAGAGCUGACCGAGGAGCUGGGGGUCUUUACUGCUUUGUAUUUUGAGGGAGUCACAGCAUGUUCUUUCACCUGAGAAGCAAGUGAUGAUGAAAGUGUACGGCAGCAUUCUCGUCCUUCCUGACAGCCUACCGAAUCCUCAGACAUUAACAUGAGACUUCCUUGAGGAAUGACUUCAAUUGACAACUGACUUCAAUAUUUGAUCAUACUUCAACAUUUCCUGAGUAUAUGAGUACACCAUAGCUGUCUUCAGACA